AAACAAGGUGAAUGAGUUCUGAAUUUAUUGAAAGAGCCUGUCAUGUAUUUGUUUGCUUUCGAAUUUAUAAUCCAAAAAUUCUUUCCAAGAUUGACAAGAAAAGCAUUAUUUGAUUUGACAAAGUUGGAAGAGACAAUUGUGGUAGACUAAGAUACCAGCUGUGACAAAAAACAUUUUAGGGAUUGCACUUCCUCAUUGGAAAGAAUUCUA
rnacentral:misc_RNA from 1 species